AGAUUUGAGAGAGGACACAGAGCCAAACCGUAUCACAGGAUAUGAAUGAGAAGAAUUGGAAGAAUAUCACCAGGCAGGGAAGAGUCAAUCAAGAAGUCACUGGUCCCAGAAGAAGAGGUAGCACAAGAAAAGGAAACCCAAGAAGCACCAGAGAGAAAGCAAACAACCAAGAAAGGCAAGAACACCUCACAUUGAGAAAAAGAAAGUCAGGCAGGAAAUUAUAUUUUUAAGUUAUUUGACCUGAUAUGUGCCAAAUGAGAACUUUUGCUGGCCUUUAUUUUUCCAAUAAAAUCAACUAUGAUCAUGAA